UACGGAGGGUGCGAGCGUUGUCCGGAUUUACUGGGCGUAAAGGGCGCGUAGGCGGCAUGACAAGUCACUUGUGAAAUCUCCGGGCUUAACUCGGAACGGUCAAGUGAUACUGUCGCGCCAGAGUGCGGAAGGGGCAAUCAGAAUUCUUGGUGUAGCGGUGAAAUGCGUAGAUAUCGGAAGGAACACCAGUGGCGAAAGCGGCUUCCUGGUCCAGCACCGACAUUCAGGCACGAAAGCGUGGGGAGCAAACAGG
rnacentral:rRNA from 1 species